GUCGCCUUCCUCCACCCCUCGACGCCUUCCGUAUCUCCGCCUUCCACGCUGACUCCCACUGGUCCGCCGCUGCUCGACCGCGCUGACUCCCACCGUUCCGCCGCCACUCGCCCGCUCGCCUCUCUACCUACUCCGCCUCCGCUCGAGCUCAACCAGGACAAGAGCUCGCCCUACCGAGCGACACACCUAGGACCUCGGCGGGGUAUUAGUAUACGAUCAGGUGCUUGAUGAAAUUCCGGUAUGAGACAUGAAUCCAUGGAGAACUACUUCCUCUAUUGUGAUCAUGCUUUGCAUAACUGGCAGCAGAUAUGUGUAACUUGUGCCAGCUUUUGUUUGUAGAAAUUUCACGAUUAGAACAAUGGUAGAUAAUAAUGUCCAACGUUCAUCUCCUUGAUCUGGCGUUGCAGGGACGAAUCUCGACGGCGAGCACAGGGUUACGGUGGUGGAACGUCAACGUGCCACAGUCAACUCCAAUGCAGAGAUGAUGCGGGGGCCGUCCGGCGAGCCGCUGGAUUCAGAGGAUUCCACCAUGAAAGCACAUCUGAAGGCCUAGGGUUCUCUAAUUAGUUAAAACUCUGCCCUAGAUAAGGUAGUAACCUGCAGGGGGUGUUCUCUAAUUAGUGCUGUUAUUAUUUAGUUUCAUAGACUCUGAAUUAAGCAGGCUAAUAAGUGUUGGUUCAGGAUUGAGGUUCUAUAUUAUUUAGGUGUGUUUAUAGUAGAUAAUAUGGAAGCAUACUGGAGGUCUGAAGUCUGAAACACAUUGUCAACAGUUUCCUUGAUAACAAGCACACGAUGUCCAAUAUAUCAUACGAUGUAGGGUGAGUUAUGCACCACCUGAAAGCACACCUUGCACCAAAUGAACUGCUGGGAGCAGGUUGGACAUUUGAGUAUAGUGUUGGCAUGCAUCCCAGCUACGAGAGCUUUCAGGUACUGGACCAAUGUGCUUGUAUUGAUCAUCGACAUAUUCUCUCUGCUCACCACUUGGCAUCCAAUUUAUGAUCCCACCAUCGAGUCCGCCAGCGUCGAUGCUGCCAGGUGGUGGAUGCCUGCUUGUCAGGGCCACGUUGACGCGAAGCAUAUAUGUCCACUGCCUCUCUUGCCGUAGGGGAGUUCCGCGAGGUCCUGAUCCAGCAUUGGUCCGAUGACGCCUUCAUGGCUAAGAGUUUGGUGCUCCCUACGGCCGGCGACGUAGCAGGCGGAGGCUCCUCUUGACUCGUCGUGCAACACCUUCGUCGAUCUGGGCGACGCUGCAGUAAAGAUAGAACUGUUGUUGUGCCAAUUGUCUCCUUCCCACGCCAGUGAAGAUAUGGAUGUCGAUGAUCAAUCUGAUGAAGAGGUAGAGUCUACUAUGCAAAGUCUCUCGAGCAAUACAUGCCUCCCCGACCUCGAGCACCACUGGCCUUCCUUCCCAACCACUGUACCGUGGAGCUGCCAAGGCGGUGGUUGCAGCUCAUCCUCUUCCUCUUGCGAAGAACAUGAUGUCGGCAGAGAGGUGGAGUUCUUCCUCAACUGGAUGAGCGAACCUGCUUGUCCCUGCACCACCCACAUCGCCGAGAUGUAAAUCGAGUAGGAGAAGGAGCUACAGAGUGUGGAGCAGGUCAAGAUGGAGAUGCAGGAGAAGGACUAUGUCGCGCUUGAUCUCGUACGAUUUGUCAAUCUCCAUAGUUAUGCUCUUGAGGAACUGAUAUAGAUUUCUCUUGAGAAAGAGAUUAGGAUGAAACGUUUUGAUGGAGCAUGCUAAGUUUCCUAUCUGAAGAUUUUUCUAUAGCUAUUACUAAUACCUUGUAUUUUGUAGACGUUAGGAAUUUAAGAUGCUUACAUCGGUGUGUCAUGUGUUAGCUAAAAUUACUGCAAGCACCAUGUGUACCAUGUAUUUUGUUAGAAUGUCUAAAGGCAUUAGCUACA